AGGAAGGAAGGAAAAGAAAAUGAAGAGAAAAGAAAAGGAAAAUAAAGAAACAUUGUGUUUGGAAGAAAAGUCAUGGUGCAUUUUUGCACAGAAAAACAGAGAGAAAUAUAUCAUGACUUUUCUGACAGCCCAAUAUAUAUUUUUAUCUUUAUAGUGAUUUAAUAGCAAUUUACAACAUUGUAAGAUAUUAGGGGUAUAAUUCCAUACCCCCAUAGUUCUCCCAAGAUCAUAGUCAUGGGUUAACUACGUAUACGUUUUUCCUUCUUUUUUCAAAUUCUUGUGUUUCAAAUCUCUAUACUCCACUAGUCAUCCUUCCUUUUUCUUCUUCCCUCUCAGUGGGCAAAAAGGUUACACAAUGCCAGAACACAGACUUAACCCUCUGCCACUGAGCUGCCAGCUGGGCCCCUUUAAUCAAAGCGCUGAUCUGGUGAAGUGCCGGAAUGCAUCAUCUACAAAGAGCAAGACUUGAAAUGUGUCCUUUCAUAAGCGGAGGAGGCCCUCAACAAACUCAACAAUGAGCCCUGAAGUGGUUUAUCGCUGGGGCCCAGUGCCUGCACCAUGAAUCCACUGCUCCUGGAGGCAAUUUCUUUUUUUUUUAAUUUUUUUUAAUUAAGAAAGGAUUAAUUAACACAACCAUAGGGUAGGAGGGGUACAACUCCACACAAUUCCCACCACCCAGUCUCCAUAUCCCACCCCCUCCCCCGAUAGCUUUCCCAUUCUCUAUCCCUCUGGGAGCAUGGACCCAGGGUCAUUGAGGGUUGCAGAAGGUAGAAGGUCUGGCUUCUGUAAUUGCUUCCCCGCUGAACAUGGGCGUUGACUGGUCGGUCCAUACUCCCAGUCUGCCUCUCUCUUUCCCUAGUAGGGUAGGUCUCUGGGGAAGCUGAGCUCCAGGACACAUUGGUGGGGUCUUCAAUCCAGGCAAGCCUGGCUAGCAUCCUGAUGGCAUCUGGAACCUGGUGAUUGAAAAGAGAGUUAACAUACGAAGCCAAACAAAUUGUUGAGCAAUCAUGGACCCAAAGCUUGGAAUAGUGGAGAGGAAGUGUUGGGGGGAUACUCACUGCAAACUCUAGUGUACUUCUGCUUUCAGGUAUAUAUUUUGCAGUAGUUUAUGGAUACGUGUGAACAUAAGCUCUCUCUCACAGAAACUGGUGUAUAUCUAGGUUUUGGGACUUUGUUAGAAAGUGAACCACCUGAGAUAAAAUUAGAGUGUACUAUAAAAGGAAAGUUCUCACCCGAGUAAUGAAGCUGAAGGGUUGUCAUUCCACACGUGAAGUCUCUGGACACAGUCUGAGGUGAAGCAUGUUGAGGUGGCAAUCG